CCUACGGGUGGCAGCAGUGAGGAAUAUUGGUCAAUGGGCGGAAGCCUGAACCAGCCAAGUAGCGUGCAGGAUGACGGCCCUACGGGUUGUAAACUGCUUUUAUACGGGAAGAACGCGCCGUACGUGUAGGGCUUUGCAUGUACCGUAUGAAUAAGGACCGGCUAAGUCCGUGCCAGCAGCCGCGGUAAUACGGAAGGUCCGGGCGUUAUCCGGAUUUAUUGGGGUGAAAGGGAGCGUAGGCCGCAUGGCAAGCGUGCUGUGCAAUGUCCGGGCUCAACCCGGGCCUUGCAGCGCGCACUGGCGUGCUUGAGUCCGCGGCUACCAGGCGGACUUCGUCUUGUAGCGGUGA
rnacentral:rRNA from 1 species